rnacentral:lncRNA from 1 species
CACACUCAAAAUAUUACAAUUGAAUAGUCAAACAAAACACUGUAAAAUUAAAUUGAGGAAAUUAAGAGUAAAUCCACAACUUAAUUACGCGCCACUCCAGAACUCGAAUUCGAACAAAUUCGACACUUAAUGAAAAAAUACAGUAAAUUAGAGUUCAACAGAAACUCAAUUUUCAAUCUACAUGAACAAAAGCAUUCUUAAACAGUAAAAUAUAAAGAUAAUUACCUCGCCAAACACUGAUUUUUAGGGCUUCUUUAUUGAGUCCUCUGACAUAGUUCCCCAAAUACCUCUGUAGCAAAUACGCCACCUGAUCCUCUAACAUCUUUCCGAUUCCUCAAUCUCUCCCACUUCACAAGUAAUUUACAUAUGGAUGCAGGAUGCUUACUAUACAUAGAAUUCUGUGUGUUUUCCCAAUUGGGAGAGGGGGAAGAAGAAAUGGUACGAAGAGAGGGAUUAAUUAUAAUUAUAAUUAAUUAAAAGAAAUAAAAAUGCGUCCUGAAGUUUCUUGAGAUCCAGAAACCGGUGCCAUGUUGACUGGAAAUU